AACGCGAAGAACCUUACCCAGACUUGACAUGCACCGGAAGUUAGCAGAAACGUUAACGCCCUUCGGGCUGGUGCACAGGUGCUGCAUGGCUGUCGUCAGCUCGUGCCGUGAGGUGUUGGGUUAAGUCCCGCAACGAGCGCAACCCUUAUCGUUAGUUGCCAACAGGUGAAGCUGGGAACUCUAACGAGACUGCCUGGGUUAACCAGGAGGAAGGUGAGGAUGAUGUCAAGUCCGCAUGGCCCUUAUGUCUGGGGCUACACACGUGCUACAAUGGUCGGUACAGAAAGCAGCGAAGCCGCGAGGUGAAGCAAAUCUCCAAAACCGACCCCAGUUCAGAUUGCAGUCUGCAACUCGACUGCAUGAAGACGGAAUUGCUAGUAAUGGCAGGUCAGCAACACUGCCGUGAAUACGUUCCCGGGCCUUGUACACACCGCAUAC
rnacentral:rRNA from 1 species